UGAUGGCGGCGCUGGUUGUGUCCGAGACUCCGGAGCCAGGAAGCCGAGUCGGCUCUGGCAGAGGUCGCAUCUCUCGGGGGCGACUGGCCAAUCAGAUCCCCCUUGAGAUCCUGAACAAUCCCCAGCUACAGGCUGCUGUCCAGGCUCUGCCUUCUAACUACAAUUUUGAGAUCCCUAAGACCAUCUGGAGGAUCCAACAGGCCCAGGCCAAGAAGGUGGCCUUACAAAUGCCAGAAGGCCUCCUACUCUUUGCCUGCACCAUUGUGGAUAUCUUGGAAAGGUUCACAGAGGCUGAGGUGAUGGUGAUGGGUGACGUCACCUAUGGGGCUUGCUGUGUGGACGACUUCACUGCAAGGGCCUUGGGAGUUGACUUCCUGGUGCACUAUGGUCACAGCUGUCUAGUCCCCAUGGACACCUCUGUUCAAGACUUCCGAGUCUUGUAUGUCUUUGUGGAUAUCCGGAUAGACACUGCCCACCUUCUGGACUCGGUCCGCCUCACCUUUACCCCAGGCAGCUCACUCGCUCUGGUCAGCACCAUUCAGUUUGUGUCAACCUUACAGGCAGCUGCACAGGAGCUGAAAGCUGAUUAUCACGUCAGUGUCCCACAGUGCAAGCCCCUGUCCCCUGGGGAGAUCCUAGGCUGCACAUCCCCUCGGCUACCCAAGGAGGUGGAAGCUGUUGUGUAUCUUGGAGAUGGCCGCUUUCAUCUGGAGUCUGUCAUGAUUGCCAACCCUAAUAUACCUGCUUACCGGUACGACCCAUAUAGCAAAGUCCUAUCCAGAGAAUACUAUGACCAUCAGCGCAUGCAGGCCACUCGCCAAGAAGCCAUUGCUGCUGCACGCUCAGCCAAGUCCUGGGGCCUUAUUCUGGGCACUUUGGGCCGCCAGGGCAGUCCCAGGAUCCUGGAGCACUUGGAAUCUCAGCUCAGAGGCUUGGGACUCCCUUUCGUGAGGCUGCUGCUCUCGGAGAUCUUCCCCAGCAAGCUCAGUCUACUUCCUGGGGUGGAUGUGUGGGUGCAGGUGGCAUGUCCACGCCUCUCCAUUGACUGGGGUUCAGCCUUUCCCAAGCCACUGCUGACACCAUAUGAGGCAGCCGUGGCCCUGAAGGACAUUUCUUGGCAGCAACCCUACCCCAUGGAUUUCUAUUCUGGCAGCUCCUUAGGGCCAUGGACAGUGAACCACGGUCGGGACCGAGCACCCCGGGGUCUCUGCCAGCCUGCAUCUGACAAGGUAGCAACUUUAAGCAGGGCAGAGAGGCAGCCUUCAGGCGCAGCCUUGGCGUGACGUGGUCCACGGCCGCCGCCCUGAGGACAGCGGGGGAAAUACAAGGGAGCCGGUGGAGGUCGCAGUGGAGAGACUUGGGUUUGUCGGCUCCCUCAGGUGCCGCAGGGGUCCGGAGGCGGCUCUCCAGCCCCAGCCUGUGAGGGUUGCAGCUGCGCCGACCAGAAGGCUACUUUGCCGGCUCCCUGAGCAGGCCGGAGCAGCAGGUAUUUGCAGCCACGCCCCACCUUUUUGUUUUAGGAGGGCCCCGCCUUCCCGGAGCCCCGCCUUCGGGGUGUGCCCCGCACGGGCCCUGCCUCCUUGCAGGUUCUACUUCCGCUUAGGAAGGCCUGCUUCCGGUCGGCCUGCAGUAUGGCGGCACGGCAGACCUUGCGGGUGCUGUGUCUAGCCGGCUUCCGGCAGAGCGAGCGGGGCUUCCGUGAGAAGACGGGAGCGCUGAGGAAGGCGCUGCGGGGUCGCGCAGAGCUCGUGUGCCUCAGCGGACCACAUCCGGUCUCCGAGGCAGCGGCUCCCGAGGGUGCGGGGCCAGACUCGGGGCCCUGUUCUCCGGAGGAGCAGCCUCGAGGCUGGUGGUUCUCUGAAGAGGAAGCCGAUGUUUUCUCUGCUCUGGAAGAGCCCAAAGUGUGCAGGGGUCUGCAGGAGGCCCUGGAAACGGUGGCACAGGCCCUUGACACGCUGGGGCCCUUUGAUGGACUUCUUGGCUUCAGCCAGGGAGCUGCACUAGCAGCUUGUGUGUGUGCCCUGGGCCAGGCAGGUGAUCCUCGCUUCCCCUUGCCAAGAUUUAUCAUACUUGUGUCGGGGUUCUGUCCCCGAGGCCUUGGCCUUAGGGAACCCAUCUUACAGAACCCCAUGUCACUGCCUUCACUUCAUGUUUUUGGGGAUACUGAUCGAGUCAUCCCUUCUCAGGAGAGUAUGCAAUUGGCUAGCCGGUUCCUUGGAGCCGUCACCCUCACCCACUCUGGUGGUCACUUCAUUCCAGCAGCUGCAUCCCAGCGUCAGGCCUAUCUUAAGUUCUUGGACCAGUUUGCAGAAUGAAGGAUCGACAAAUGUGUCUGCACUGCUCCCACUUUCUCCAGCAGCCCUCCCUGGUGCACUCCUCACCAUGGCUAGUUAAAAGACAACUGUCACUUCUCAGGACACACAUAAGCUCAGAGAGCCUGUGAGAAGACAGUGGUGGGCAAGCAGGGGCUGGCACCCCUGUGACUGACGAACAAUAAAGCGAUGCUUUAGAU